AUUGAACGCUGGCGGCAGGCCUAACACAUGCAAGUCGAGCGAGCGGGGGACGGGUUAGUAAUGUCUGGGAAAGUGCCUGGGGGAGGGGGAUAACUACUGGAAACGGUAGCUAAUUCCGCAUAGCAUCAGAUAUGCCCGGAUGGGAUUAGCUAGUGGGUGGGGUAAUGGCCUACCUAGGCGACGAUCCCUAGCUGGUCUGAGAGGAUGACCAGCCACACUGGAACUGAGACACGGUCCAGACUCCUACGGGAGGCAGCAGUGGGGAAUAUUGCACAAUGGGCGCAAGCCUGAUGCAGCCAUGCCGCGUGUGUGAAGAAGGCCUCCGGGUUGUAAAGCACUUUCAGCGAGGAGGCGUUACUCGCAGAAGAAGCACCGGCUAACUCCGUGCCAGCAGCCGCGGUAAUAC
rnacentral:rRNA from 1 species